UUACACUGACCACAAUCUGCGCUCAUCAUCAUCAUUAUUAUUAUUAUUAUUUUUGGAGACAGAAUCUCACUCUGUUGCCCAGGCUGGAAUGCAGUGGUGCUAUCUGGGUUCACUGCAACCUCUGCCUCUCAGGUUCAAGCAAUUCUCGUGCCUCAGCCUCCUGAGUAGCUGGGAUUACAGGUGCCCACAACUACACCUGACUAAUUUGGCUAAUUUUUUAUAUUUCAGUAGAGACAGGGUUUUCACCAUAUUGCCCAGGCUGGUCUCAAACUCCUGACCUCCGGUGAUCCACCCACCUCAGCCUCCCAAAGGGUUGGGAUUACAGGCGUUAGCCACUGCGCCUGGCCUGGGCUAAUAAUUAACAUACACACAUCUCAGACAAACAUGCAGUCAGACUCACACACACACACACAUUCUCUCUCUCUCCCUAUCUCUUUGCCACCUCGCUCACACACACACACACACACACACUCUCUCUCUCCCCCUCUUUGCCACCUCGCUCACACACACACACACACACACAACAUUCUCUCUCUCUCCCUAUCUCUUCCACCUCGCUCACACCACAUCACAACACCACACACACACACAUUCUCUCUCUCUCCCUAUCUCUUUGCCACCUCGCUCACACACACACACACACACACACACACAUUCUCUCUCUCUCCCUAUUCUUUUGCCACCUCGCGUCACACACAACAACACAACACACCACAUUCUCCUCUCUCUCCUU
rnacentral:lncRNA from 1 species